rnacentral:misc_RNA from 1 species
UCCGAGUUGACCCCGGCAGUCUCCUAUGAGUCCCCGCCAUAACGCGCUGGCAACAUAGAACGAGGGUUGCGCUCGUUGCGGGACUUAACCCAACAUCUCACGACACGAGCUGACGACAACCAUGCACCACCUGUAAACCGGCCCCGAAGGGAAACCGCAUUUCUGCGGCGGUCCGGUCCAUGUCAAGCCGAGGUAAGGUUCUGCGCGUUGCAUCGAAUUAAACCACACGCUCCGCUGCUUGUGCGGGCCCCCGUCAAUUCCUUUGAGUUUUAGCCUUGCGGCCGUAGUCCCCAGGCGGCGGACUUAGUGCGUUAGCUGCGACACGGAAACCGUGGAAUGGUCCCCACAUCUAGCGCCCAACGUUUACGGCGUGGACUAC